rnacentral:rRNA from 1 species
ACGGGUGAGUAACACGUGGGAACAUACCCUUCGGUUCGGAACAACGCCGGGAAACUGGCGCUAAUACCGGAUACGGCUUGAGGGCGAAAGAUUCAUCGCCGAAGGAUUGGCCCGCGUUCGAUUAGCUUGUUGGUGAGGUAACGGCUCACCAAGGCGACGAUCGAUAGCUGGUCUGAGAGGAUGGCCAGCCACAUUGGGACUGAGACACGGCCCAAACUCCUACGGGAGGCAGCAGUGGGGAAUAUUGGACAAUGGGCGCAAGCCUGAUCCAGCCAUGCCGCGUGAGUGAUGACGGCCUUAGGGUUGUAAAGCUCUUUCGCACGCGACGAUAAUGACGGUAGCGUGAGAAGAAGCCCCGGCUAACUUCGUGCCAGCAGCCGCGGUAAUACGAAGGGGGCUAGCGUUGUUCGGAAUCACUGGGCGUAAAGGGUGCGUAGGCGGGAUCUUAAGUCAGGGGUGAAAUCCCGAGGCUCAACCUCGGAACUGCCUUUGAUACUGGGGUCCUUGAGUCCGGAAGAGGUGAGUGGAACUGCGAGU